UUUCGGUCGAGGAAACACAAAGAAAAUAUUGAUUAUUCGCCGAAAAUUUACAUAAUUGAGCGCCUUAGAAAAAUAGAUCGAGGUAGGGAAAGCUUUGCUGUUUUUAACUUACUUUAUAUUCUGUUAUUUGUUGUGAUUUUGAAGCCGUUGUGUGUGCACUGAUAUUUUAUAUUUAUCGCGUUUAUUUAUAUAUCGUGAAACUUUAA